rnacentral:rRNA from 1 species
UACGUAGGGCGCAAGCGUUGUCCGGAAUUAUUGGGCGUAAAGAGCUCGUAGGCGGCUUGUCACGUCGGGUGUGAAAGCCCGGGGCUCAACCCCGGAAUUGCCUUUAAGACUGCAUCGCUUGAAUCCGGGAGAGGUGAGUGGAAUUCCGGGUGUAGCGGUGGAAUGCGUAGAGAUCCGGAAGAACACCGGUGGCGAAGGCGGUCUGCUGGGGUAAUGCUGACACUGAUGCGCGACAGCGUGGGGAGCAAACAGG